ensembl:lncRNA
CGGGGGGGCUCGGGAGCGAGCGAGCGUGCGUGCGCCUCGGGGACUGGGCGGGGCGGGCACGCGCCAGCAGGCAGGGCCGUGCCGGGAUGGGCUCGCGGCUGUUGCGAGGUUCACGCCCGCCCAGCGUGCGCGUGCACGUGCACGUGGAGACCUGGGCGAAGAGGCGGGGCUCUCGAACGAGAGCGCCAGACGGGGGCGGAGUUGCGGUUUUGACGUACCCCGAGGGGCGGGGAUGGAGAGCUGGCACCGGGGAGCUUGGAAGGACUGUCUAUUUCACUCUCCAAGGGCUGGACACAGAGCACACAUUUGAUGGUCCCAUCUCAAAGGCUGGGCAAGUUGGGCAUGAUCAAGCUGCAGCUUCCACAACCCAAAGAUGGAGUGCCAAAACCUGUCCCCCAACCCUGUGGAAGGGGGGCUUUGUGAGCUUCAGAGGUGACCGUGGCGUGGAGCUUGAAAAGAACAUGUUGGUUUAUGGAAUACAAAAUUUCGAGGAGUAAAGUCUAUCAGAAAGGAGUUACAGAAGAAAAAUAACACUGCUGGUGGCUCGGUGCAGGCAAUGGAAGCCAGCUGUGGCUGGUUCAGCAGAGGAGUUUGUUCAAAGAGAGGCACGAGGGCUGGAGUAAAGACCUGAGGGACAGAGCUUCCGGAGGCGAUGCCCUAGACCUGCUGCAGGACUGAUCUGGUUAGAAACUGCGCUGCCUCCCCGGCUCAGGCUCCCGUUGUCACGGGUGACACUCCUGGCACUUCUGCGCCAUGAAUUCCAUCUCGUGGCCCCUGCCACUUCCAAACAUCAGGUGCCUUUGCUUUGAACCUACCAGCAGCUGUGAUCCCACAGGAGCUCCCCUCUCAGGUUGCUCUCCUUGGAAAUGAAAUCUGCUGAGGGUGCUGCUGACUGGUGACGCUGGGCCACAUGCCUGCCCCCACCCACUGGGAAAGUGAGGCCCUGAUUGCUCCUGGGGAGGUGUGGCUCCCAAGGUGGGACAUUCCAUAAACAGAAGAGGAAUGUGUAAGAGGUACUGGGAAGCCAGAAAACAUGGGAGUUGUCCACCAUGGUCCUGUACUUCUUGAUGAGGAAUUUGCAGGCACGUGAAGGAGACCAAUAGGAAGGUAGCUAAAGAGGCCAGAGGCACAAAUACUUUGUUUUAUGGUUAGAAAUUAUUUUUAAAUGCAUUAUUUCUUAGGUUAGAAGAAUAAUUAUAAUGUAUCUGCUACUCAUAAAGCAUACCAAUAAAUCAGACAUCUGUGAACCCAACACUUAACCUCAGACUGGAAAUUCCCAAUGCCAUUGAAGCUACUGACGCACUUCUUCCUCAUCCUAUCUCUAAGCUUUGUUAAAGGGUGUUUAUGCUAGAUAGAGCUUUCCACACUGUUAUGCACUUAAUAUUAUACUUCUAAGAUUCCUCCAUGCUGUUCUAUGUAUGUACAAUUGGAUCCAUUUCCCUGACAUAUAAUAGUAUAUAAUAUUGUAUGUAAUAAUGUCAUUCCAUUUCAUGACUUCAGUAUCAUGUAACUCUAUCACAAUUUAUUUGUCCAUUCUCCCAUCAGUUGACAUUUGGAUUGCUUCUAGUUUCUAUUCCAAACAAUGGCACUGUGAAAAAAAAUUUAAAUGUGCCUCCUGAUUCACAAGUUCAAAAAUUCUUGUAGAAAGAAAAGUAGGAAUAGAAUUGUUGGGAAGUAGGAUAGAAAUAGUCAACCUUGUGAGACAAUAUCAAAUUGUCCUCCUUCUUCCUGCCAGCAGUGUGGAGGCGUCCUCAUUUUACCACAUUCUUAUCAUCCCCUGAUUUUGCUAGAUUUUUUCUGAUCUAGUGGGUGUGAAGUGGUAUCUUGUGAUUUCAAUUGCUAGUGAGGUGCAGCAUUUUUACAUAGGUUUAUUCGCAAUUCCUAUUUCCUUUUCUGUGAAAUGUCUGCUAGUGCCUUUUACCCAUUUAUCAUUUUGUAGUUUUCCUCUUAAAAUUGGUUUAUAGUUCUUUACAUAAGUUGGGUACCAUUCUUUUGGCAGUUAAAUGUGUCGACGCAAAUAAUCCAUAACCAAUCAACAAAUCAAAAUUGGGGUGAGUUUAUUAUGAGCUAGAUCUGAGGACCACAUAGCCCAGGAGAAUCCUUUCACAAAGGAAUGGAGCACUCCAAAGAAGUGGGGGUCUUCAGGGGGUUAUAUACCGUCCAAGAGCACGUAUCACAUAUAAUUGGAAUGUCCCUUUCCGCAACAGUCAUGAGAUUGCCUAACUCGCACAGUGAUUCACACAGCAAUUGAUGAACACUGCAGGUAGCAGGGCUGUGGUCUGGAUCUGGGUGGUCAUAGCAGGUCAGCAAUCAAUCCCCAGCCUAGGGAGAGACACUUAUCUUUAACAAAGUGCCAGUGUGGGGGGAGUUACAUCUUUAAGGGCAUUGUCCUUGUCUUUGGGACAUAGUAAAUACUUAAAGCCGAUGUACAAUGCAUGCUCAACGGCCACAUCAGGCCCUUUUGGAAAAAGAAGUUCAGGUCGAAUUAGUUUUACACCAAAUGGCUUCCUCAUAGACUCCCAUAUGUCCUAUUGCUUGACAUUUAUUUAUCAAAUGUAAAUAUCUUCCUUUAGUUUGUGGCUUGUUUUUUCACUUUCUUUUUGAUGAACAGAAGUUCUUAAUUUUAGUAUGGUCCAAUGUAUUAAUCUCUUAGUUAUGUAGGUUUUUGUGCUUUGUUUAAGAAAUUCUUAAACAGAGGCUUAAACAUAUUAGAGACUUAUCUUCUCGUGUGAGAGAAGACCAAGGCUGGUGCAGUGGCUACAUCAAGUUAUCAGAGGCUCACACUUCUGUCUUUCUGCUCUACCGUAUUUAGCGUCAAGCAAGUGGCGCCUGUUGCCUACUGUCAGGAGUAAAUGUUUGAGCACUUCUGACCACUGCUUCUUGGUGUCAGAGUUACCAAAGAAAACGCAACACAGUCAAACAUUGGAUGGAACAAUACUUUAUUCACAAAGAGAUGAGACAGAGCAAGGUCAGCUUCAAUGGUGGGUGUUGGUCCUCCAUGGCCAGCAGGUCCCCAGGCAGCCAAUGCAGGACAAUUGGCUUACCAGUACCCCUCUCUUACCACGGUAGAAGGACCCCUCCCCCUCCACGGUGGAGUCUGAAAUACUGAAAGCUGGGAGCACGCCUGAGGGCCAUUGAUGCAGGUGCUUCAAGCGGAACAAAGGAGCACAUGCUGAGCCUGAAACAGGGAAAGAUGUUCCCAUACACGGUGAUACGGUCAGCAGAAGCUGUGUAGAUUCUUUAGUUCCAGUUAAGAAAGUGUUUCAGGCCCAAGGCCCAUUCUUAUGUGAUCAAGCAGGGGUUGAAAGACUGUGUGUAUGAGACUGUGCCUCUCAACAUUUAGUGCAGAAUUUCCAUCCUCAAGGUCAUCUGGCUGCUGGAAUGUCAGCCAUCAUCUCUGCCUUUCAGACAGGAGGAAGGGUAAAGACUAAAGGCACCCCUCCCUCCCUGCUAGCUGAGUCAUUUCCUUUAAAGAAAGCUUUUGAAAGCUCCACUCAAGAAUUUCUGCUUAUACUCCAUUGGCUAUCCUGAUCAGAAAGGAGGGCUGCUACCUAGGAUAAAAUCCAGGUUCUAAAACUAACAAAGAAAGGGACACUGGGUAUUGUUUAGGCAACAAGAAAUUUCUGCCCACACAGUAAUUGCUACUCAUCUCCCAGGUUCCAGCUCAAAUUUAAUUUCCCAAAGAAAUUCUUUCUUGAUGCUCCUGUUUAGGUCUAUGCUCUUUAACGUUGUAGAGGAGGUAACAUUUCUCCUUUACCCUUUUAGGGUCUCUGGCUGGACCUAAAAAUUAAACUGACGUAAGACAGAUUAAGCAUCACAUUUUAUUUAGUAAGUUUUACAUGUACAUAGGAGCCUUCACAAGAAAAAUGAAGACCCAAAGAAGCAGUUAGGGUUGAAAGUUUAUAUACUAGGUUGGACAAAGAGUUGUAGAUUAUGAAAGUGUGAUGAGACAAAGUGGUUUGACCUAGGGAAGUUAACUGUGGAAAAGGGACUAGGAACGUAAGUGUUAGUUGAACAAGGUUUGUUUGCUUUUUUUCUCAGCCUCGACUCCCCGUCUCUGGUGAUAAGAAUGUUUCUUUCCUCCUGGCAUAGGAAGGACAUCUUUCACAUGAGUGUUAUCUCCUGCUUUCAGGAAGAAAAAUAAAGGUCAGAGUGCCCUUCUUGCACCUGCUAUGUUUUAAGUGCCUUUAAUUCAAAAUAACCAAUAAGCCAAAGCAGCGUAUUUUGUAGUGGCAUGCUCUGAAUCCAUCAACACCUUGUACUGUUCUUUCACAGAGCUUAUUGCCAUGCCGAUUAAAUUAUUCUUAUGGCUCUUCUAUGGCCCUAUGGAUCAAAAAGACAAGGGCUCUGUCUAUCUCAUUGACUAUUGUAUUUCCAGUGCCUAUUACAGCUGUUGGCACAUAGUAGGUGCUCAAUAAACAUUUGUUGAAUAAAUGAAUGAGUGAAUGGAAGAAAGGGUAGAUAUUUAUCACCUGGCAUUUUACCACCAAGAAGGAGUCAGAAACCAACAUUUCAGGCCUUUCUGUCACCCUGCUCCUGGGAAUGUACAUGUAGUGGAUAGAGCUUCCAGAGCUAUCUUGGGCUGUGGGGACAAAGCCACACCCUAGUGAUGGUGGAACAGACAGUAGAAGUGUUAUUGAGCAAGGUGUCUCUGCCUGAUAUACACAGAAGCCAAUACUGUGGCACCAAAUUUUGAGAGAAGAAGGAACUUUAUUGCAAGGUCUACCAGCAAGGGGACAGGUGGCAAGGCUCAAAUCUGUCUCCUGGAACUGAAGUGGGGACAGACUUUUAAGGAGUUGAGAGUGGGAGUGGUUAUAUAAAAUACUAGCUUAGCAGAAUCUGCUUGGAGGGUGGGUGUCUAAUAGUCUUGUAAGUCUGGUGUGCUACAAAUCAAGGGACCCCUUGCUUCUUAUUAGGUGUCAGGCACUAUUCUGGGCACUGGGGAUCCAGCAGUGAACAAGACAGGCAAGAGUGUCCUGAGUUACAUGAGCCCAGGAUCUGUUUACUUCAUUCAUUCACCUAACAAAUAUUUUCAGGGCUUACCAUAUGGCAGGUAAUGAGCUAGGCUCUGGGGAUACACGAUAAAUGAGCCACAUGGUCUGUGCCUUCAAUCAGCACAUCGUGCAGGGAGGAGGAAAGACAAGUCAUCAAGGCAAAGCCAAGGGUGUGAGCCCAGUGAGGGCUGUGAUGGGGAAAUAGCAGGGGACCCAGGAGCACAGAGCAGGAAGCUCUUGCCUGAUUCAUGGGGCAGGAAAGCAACCCCAGAGCAAUUAACAUGGAAGCUGAGACCUGUACAAUGAGCAGGACUGAAAAGGCAAGAGUGUAUGGCUGGUCUUUCCAGGAACUGACAGAAGGUCAAUGUGGCUGCAGUGUAGACAGUAAGGGGAAGAUGGAGCUGGACAGGUAAGCAGGGUCCAGUGGUUAAAGAGAUUUGUUGUACACUGAGGAUAGCUGAUGGUGGCUUGUGCUAUAUGCUGGAUGAAACAAAGGAGAAGAGUAGAGAAUUGUCGUGCUGUUUAAGGUAGAAUCCAGAUGAUUUGGUGAAGGACUGGACUGAAGAGUGAGGGAAAGUGAAGAUUUACAGAUGACUCCUAGGUUUCCAGCUUAAACAACAAGGUGAAUGUCCAGCUUUUAAGUGAGAUCGGGAGGAGAAGCAGUCCCAGUAGGGAUUAAGGAAAGAGGCAGCAGGGAAAACAGUUCCAUUUUAUACAAGUUGAGUUUCAAGGACCUUGAGACAUCCAAGUGGAAAUACGCAAUAGGCAGCUGGAUGUGUGGGUCUGGAGCUCCAGUGAGUUGUCCUGGCCAAUGACACUGAUUUUGCAAGCAUUAGCAUAUGGCUGGAAUGAAACCAGGAGAGAAAAUAAGAUUGCCCAAGUAGAGUAUUUGUACUUAGAUGAUAUGGGGGCCACAUAUAUAAUCUUGAGAAGGUCCAACACUUAUAGAACAGAUAGAGGGAAAGACACAGAGAAAGAGUGGCCCAGGAGGUAGAAGAUAAAGAUACUGAGUAGAGGACAAGAGUGGUCAACAAGCUCAAGUGCUGCUGAAAGGGCAGUCAGCAAGAAUGGGGGCUGAGAAGAGUCCAUUGGAUUAUGCAAAGUGGAGGUUAUGAGUUUCCUUGGCAAGAGCAAUUUCAAAGGUCUGUUCCAUCCUCAGCAGACCCUGUAAAAAUGUAGGUUAGCUCAUAUUACUCCUCUGUUCAAAAUUCACCGAGGUCUUCCCAAUCACUAACUUUUCAGACUUAGAAUGUCCAACAAGUGAUCUGGUCUCUCCACCUCCAACCAAUUAUCUUCUGGUCCUCAUGUCCUAAGACUUUCUCUGCUCCUAUUGCACUGCCCUCCUUGUAGUUUCUUGAAAAAAGUGGGAAGGUUCCUGCCAUAGGGCCUUUGCACCUGCUGUUUGCUCUGCCAGGAAUGAUGUUCCCAGACUUCUGCCAAACUCCCUCCUUUGCAUCCUUCAGGUGUUUGCUCAAAUGUUACCUUUCAGUGAGGCCUUACCUCACACUAUUUAAAUCACAUUUCUUUCCACUCAUGCACUCUCCCUCUUUCCUACUUUAUUUCUCUUAACAGCAUUUAUCACCAUUGACUAUACUACCUAUUUUGUUUAUUUACUUUAUUGUCUGUCACCCCCACCCUCCCUCAAAUGUCAGUGACAUGAGGGAAGAAAUUUUGUUCACUCAUGUGACCUGAGAACCUAGAACAGUGCCUGCAACAUAAUAGGCACUUAAUAAAUAUUUGUUGAAUAAAUUAAUGAAUCCAGCAAUGGUACAGAAAAAAGGUAGAUAUGGAGAAUAUAAGUUAAAGAAAAUAUUUUCAAUAAAUUCGGCUGCGAAGAAGUGGAGAAAGAGGGGCUGGCCUGGUGGCAUGGUGGUUAAGUUCGUGUGCUCCAUUUUGGUGGCCCAGGGUUCGCAGGUUCAGAUCCUGGUCGUGGACCUAGCACCACCCAUCAGGCCUUGCUGUGGUGGCAUCCCACAUAAAACAGAGGAAGAUUGGCACAGAAAUUAGCUCAGCGACAAUCUUCCUCAGCAAAAAGAGGAAGAUUGGCAACAGAUGUUAGCUCAGGGCCAAUCUUCCUCCCCCCAUAAAACCAAACAAAUGAAAAAAGAAGAGGAGAAGGAUAUCGUUAUUCUUGGAGGGAGUUGUGGGGUCUAGGGAAGCAGUACGAUUUUGUAUGUUUUGUGUACACUGAUAUUUUUUCAUUUUUUUCUUAACUUUUUAUUUUGAAAAAUUAUUGGUUCACAGAAAGUUGCAAAGAAAGUACAGAGAGGUUCCGUACUCUUGACCUUGUACCCAAACCAGGGGCAUGACAUUAGUACAACAAGCGUAUGUGUGUAUAUGAUGUUCUAACUUAUCUUCUCACAUGAGCAGAUCUUCAUCUACAGAAUGUAGUGCAAUAUCCAACCCAGGAGAUCGACGUGGGGAUAACGUGAGCAUAUAGUUCCGUGUUACCUUAUUAUAUGUGCAGACUUGUGAAACCACCACCGCAAUCAAGAUCCUGAACUAUUCCAGCACCACAAAGAUCUCCCUUUUGCCACCCCCAUCCUUAACCCUUGACCACCACUAAUUUGUUCUCCAUCUGUAGAAUUUUGUCAUUUCUAGAAUGUUAUAUAAAUGGAAUCACAUGGUAUGUGACCCUUUGAGUUUGGUUUUUCCUACUCAGCAUAUGCUCUUGAGAUCCAUCCAAGUUGUCGUGUGUACCAAGAGUUCACUCCUUUUCAUUGCUGAGUAGUAUUCCAUGGUAUGGAUGUACCACAGGUUUUUUAGGCAUUCACCUAUUGAAGGACAUUUUGGUUGUUUCUGGUUUUUGGUUAUUCCAAAUAAAUCUGCUACAAACAUUUGUGUACAGGUUUUUGUGUGGACGUAAGUUUCAUUUCUCUGGAAUAAAUGCCUGGGAGUAUGAUUGUUGGGUUGUAUAAUAGAUGAAUAUUUAGUUUUUAAAGAAACUGUCGAACUGUUUUCCAG